GGACAAUGGGGGCAACCCUGAUCCAGCAAUUCUGUGUGCACGAAGAAGGUUUUCGGAUUGUAAAGUGCUUUCAGCAGGGAAGAAGAAAGUGACGGUACCUGCAGAAGAAGCGACGGCUAAAUACGUGCCAGCAGCCGCGGUAAUACGUAUGUCGCAAGCGUUAUCCGGAAUUAUUGGGCAUAAAGGGCAUCUAGGCGGCCAGACAAGUCUGGGGUGAAAACUUGCGGCUCAACCGCAAGCCUGCCCUGGAAACUGUUUGGCUAGAGUGCUGGAGAGGUGGACGGAACUGCACGAGUAGAGGUGAAAUUCGUAGAUAUGUGCAGGAAUGCCGAUGAUGAAGAUAGUUCACUGGACGGUAACUGACGCUGAAGUGCGAAAGCUGGGGGAGCGAACAGGAUUAGAUACCCUGGUAGUCCCAGCCGUAAACGAUGAUUACUGGGUGUGGGCAUGAAGAGUGUCCGUGCCGAAGCUAAUGCGAUAAGUAAUCCGCCUGGGGAGUACGGCCGCAAGGCUGAAACUCAAAGGAAUUGACGGGGACCCGCACAAGCGGUGGAGCAUGUGGUUUAAUUCGACGCAACGCGAGGAACCUUACCAGAUCUUGACAUCCCACGUAUGCCUGCGAGAGCAGGCAGUGCCUUCGGGAACGUGGAGACAGGUGGUGCAUGGCUGUCGACAGCUCGUGUCGUGAGAUGUUGGGUUAAGUCCCGCAACGAGCGCAACCCCUAUCGCUAGUUGCCAUCAUUAAGUUGGGGACUCUAGCGAGACUGCCUGCGAAGAGCAGGAGGAAGGUGGGGAUGACGUCAAGUCAUCAUGCCCCUUAUGAUCUGGGCUACACACGUGCUACAAUGGCCGGUACAAAGAGCUGCAAAACGGUAACGUUUAGCCAAUCUUUAAAGCCGGUCCAAGUUCGGAUUGAAGUCUGCAACUCGACUUCAU
rnacentral:rRNA from 1 species